UUUCGUCCGGCCGGACCAAACCCUAGCCCCCUCGCCCGUCUCGCCCGCAGCCUGGUGCACGCGCGGCGUCGCCUCUCCCUUCUACGCCGCCACGCCGUCGCCUCUCGCCGCCGCCUCGCCCUUCUUCCUCUGCGCGCGCCGUCGCCGCUGCAUCCUCGCCCUCCUCCAGCCAUCCUCGCCCUAGCCGCACUACUAGGCUCGCGCGCGCAUGACCUCACCUGCCGCCGCCGCCGCUCGCCCGCCGCCGCUUGCCCGCCGCCGCUCGCCUGCCGCUCGCCUGCCGCCGCCGCCGCCGCCGCCGCGGCUGCUCGCCUGCCGCCGUGCCGCUCCCCUCGCUCGGCACACCAGGCCACCUUCUCCCCUCUUCUCUCCUCUCAUCUCCAGGCCACCCACCGCCUCCCUCUUCCUCUCCCUAUCCUCGGUGAGCUACAGAUCCGGUUCGGGGGUCAUCGGAAUCGAUGGUCUCGGCCAUUGGUCUCCUCGCCGGUGAAUCGUUUUGAUACCCUUCUGCAUACAUUUAGCACAAAAUCCACAUGGUUCUGUGGAGAAAUUGAUGGGCUAGGAUGAGGUGUAAGUCGCAGAUUACAGAGAGGACGACUUUCAUUCUGCGCAUCUACCGUCAUACUGAACAAGUUAUCGAGCUUUCUCCUCUCUUAAUCAGGGCUGCGAUAUUUAGAUUAUGGUCUCCAGUUAUGCCAGUUUGCUUCUGGUUAUGUCCACAACAUAUUCAAUGUUGCAAAAUAAAUAUAAUGUAGCCAUGCUUCAGGUUACAGCUUCCAAUCCACAUCUUUUAAUAUUAUGUAGUGUGGCAUAUGCUUAUGAAAGUAAUCCAUAAUACUACUAUCUUCUGUUAGGCUUUCACAUUUAACUAUUUUAUUUUGUCGACAUCGUUUAACUUGGUGUUUUUUCCCCUUUUCCUAAGUGGUUGGUUGAUACUAUUACAAUAGUAUAGAUACACAUAAUGGAGCCAUGUUUCAGGUGUAUGCAAUGUUGAAAACCACCAAAUCUGGGCAUUUCCUUCCAAACAACUUCUUUGAGAUGAAAUAGAUUCUGGGCAGUUGUUUCUUCCACCGUCCUUCAUUAUCUUUGUACUCUCGCAUCUAAAUUAUCCUAUGUCAAAUGUGCAUAUGAUUUAGUUCACAGCUAAAUGCAUCUAAAGGGCCAACACCAGAUCUUCUGCAGACGCAGCAAAAAUAUAUUAGAGUACAAAGGGUAAUUUGUCUUUGCCAAAAGAAUGGAGUUGAUUUUCCUAUCUUCUUAAUAGGAAAGAAUUCAAGUACAUAGUCUCUUCUAGAAAAAACAAGGUUGGUAUGCCGCAUGUCUUCACUUUCUACCACAGAGUUAUUGCGCGUUUGUAAACAUGGUGAAAGAGAUGUAUCUCUGAAGCAUAAUCAAUUCAUUAGCAAUUUCAAUGUUAGGUUGUUUUUCUUUAGCCAGCAGCGCAAGAGAAAAUAGCAUAACAAUUUCAAUGUUACGCAUUUGUGUAUUCGACAGAAGGUCCAGUUAUGUGCUCCAUUGGAGAUAUUCUUAUUCUCUUCUCAAAUUGUCGAUUGGAGUAUUUGGUCGUUCAUGUGUAUGGCUUAAAAUAUUCAACAAUAUUGUAUCGAAGUGGUUAUCUUCUCAUGUUAGACAUAAGAAUUCCUUCUAGCAUGUAACUGUUAUUUAAAAUUAUCGAUAGCUUUGAAUUUUUGUC
rnacentral:lncRNA from 1 species